AGCAGCACAAUGAUGAUGUCACUGACUCUACUGCUGGCCACCCUGGGGCUCCUUGUUCAGGGUUCAUCAGCAGAAAUCAUCCUGACUCAGACUCCUACAGCUCAGUCUGUUGUUCCAGGACAGACUGUCUCUAUCAGAUGUAAAGCCAGUUCAAGUAUGGGUAGCUACCUGCACUGGUAUCUUCAGAAACCUGCAGAAUCUCCUAAACUGCUUGUUUCAUAUGCAACCAGCCGUCAGUCUGGAAUUCCUGAUCGCUUCAGUGGAAGUCAGUCAGGAACUGACUUCACUCUGACCAUCAGUGGAGUUCAGGCUGAAGAUGCAGGAGUUUAUUAUUGUGGACAAAGUGGUUACAGCUUCCCGUUCACACAGUGA